rnacentral:rRNA from 1 species
GAUGAACGCUGGCGGCGUGCCUAAUACAUGCAAGUCGAGCGAACAGACGAGGAGCUUGCUCCUCUGAUGUUAGCGGCGGACGGGUGAGUAACACGUGGAUAACCUACCUAUAAGACUGGGAUAACUUCGGGAAACCGGAGCUAAUACCGGAUAACAUGUUGAACCGCAUGGUUCAACAGUGAAAGACGGUCUUGCUGUCACUUAUAGAUGGAUCCGCGCCGCAUUAGCUAGUUGGUAAGGUAACGGCUUACCAAGGCAACGAUGCGUAGCCGACCUGAGAGGGUGAUCGGCCACCCUGGACCUGAGACCCGGUCCAGACUCCUACGGGAGGCAGCAGUAGGGAAUCUUCCGCAAUGGGCGAAAGCCUGACGGAGCAACGCCGCGUGAGUGAAGAAGGUCUUCGGAUCGUAAAACUCUGUUAUUAGGGAAGAACAAAUGUGUAAGUAACUAUGCACGUCUUGACGGUACCUAAGCAGAAAGCCACGGCUAACUACGU